CUUAACCAAGGAGUGUGGAGACAUUGGUAUGGCAUACAGGUGAGAUGUAAGGGUACAUCUGCACUAAACGUGACCCACUCUGAAGCUAUCUCUGCUAUCAAGAAUUGCUCCGAUGGGAUAUGGGUAUAAAUAUCCCUCCGACCUGAGACCGCCACGGUGACUUGCAAGCAACUCACUGCACUUAGGCACUGGACUACCUGAAUUUCUAAUUCAGUGAUAGAAGGAUGCUGGGUGUAGUCAAGUACUUGACUUGUCGGUGCGUGUGUCAAGAUGGGAUUGACCACUCCAGUUCUGGAGCUGUGUAUAGUCAUGUUUCAAUUUAGCAAAAUCUUGGCUAGGGUAGUCCUAGUGAGGAGUCACAGGACUGUUUGAGUUGAGCAUGACUCGGAUGAUCUAAUCAGGAUUGACAGUUUAACCCUGAGUCGUCCUAUACACAAGGGUCAAAAGGGAUGAAUUAUACAGUAACCAUAUUCACGUAGGUUCUGAGUGUUGCGAUUGUGACUAUUCGACCUAUCUGGAUGUCGGGUACUAUUGCUAGAUGGUCACUUCGAUUAGUACAGGAAUUGAUUCCUGCGCUACCGGCUUAGGUUCGA
rnacentral:lncRNA from 1 species